rnacentral:lncRNA from 1 species
CCUUCCUGGUGCGGUGGCAGAGGCGGCAUCGCAGUUGCAUUCCUUCUCCCUCCACCAUGCACAGCCUUCGGUAUCCCAGGGCCUGCAGGAUCCUGACACCCGUUAGCCAGUCCAGUGUCUCCCAUCUGACACUUGCAAACACACUAACAGAAAUACACAUAACUGGCAGAUGAUAUACGUGUAUUGAGAGAAGAUGGCGACGUAUCCACCGCGGAGGCUGCUGGGAGCAAGACCUUUACCCUCUGACCGCCGCCGUGACCCCCGUCGCUCCGGCUUCCCUCCAGGCGGCAGCGGAAGGUGGGAGCGACGACUGCAAAACGGCAGCGAUGGGGUGGGUAGGCAGGCCGCUUUCAGCGCGCUUCUAACAAGGUGGAGAGAGGCGCUUCACUUCCCUACCGCCCUUACCGCCGCUCCGUCUUGUCUCCCACCGACUCACAGGGAGGCUUGCUGCUCCUCCGCGGCCGUUACAGAGAGCGGGGCUUCUGCGGCCGCUACCGUUUCCCUGGGGCUAGGUUGCUUCGCAGAAGGCUCUGGCCCUGAGUCCGAGGGGGACUGCGGGGUCCAGGGGCGAUGAAUGCUCCCGCAACCUCCGGAGCUUGUGCGCGUACUUCAGGGACCGGCACCACGUCACCGUCACCUCCUGAGUAGUGAGUUCCCCUCUGAUGAAACCACUGGUGUGUUUACUCACCAUCCCCACCAUUUUUUUUUCCCCAACCUGAUGGAAGGAAGUACAUAAUGGAGAGCAAGUUUUUAAAGCACGGUCGUGUCGUGUGAACUUGCUCUAGCCAAAUUAGGUUUAUAGCACUUUUUUUGGCUCUCAUUACCUCCAGUCCCCACAUAAACAAGAGUGACCAGCUGGGUCAUCCGCAAGACCGUUUGAAAUUAUUGUGGCUUGGGUGGAAACUUAAAGGAGUGAAGUAUCUGCUUUCCAGAAAAAUCGUUGUCAUUCAAAGUGAAAUUAAACUUGUUUUCUUUGCAAUAAUUCGCCUUUAUUUCCUUGUAUAUCUGUAAACUCUUCACUUUUUUGUAAUUACUAGACAAUUCGGACUUAAAAAGAGCCUCAGCAUGUGUAUUUUGGAAUUGUGUAGCUUCAUAAUGUGAAAAUUAUUCUUUUCUAUUUGAGUAAAGUACAGUUAAUUUGAAGUAAAUAAAAUUUCUAUUUCCAUUGGUUGUUUCUUUUAAAAAGUCACCUUUUACUUACAAAAGAAUCACUGUAAUCCAGUUUACAUUUAUCAUUGAAGGUCAAAAGCAAGAAAUAGGAAGAAACACAAGCAUACUAUAAAAUAAAAGGUAACUGUCAUGUUUUUGAAGGUAAGGUGUUUUGACAUAUCAGCAGACAUUGUGUGAAUUUAUUUCAACUCCUAGUGGUACUGGUGUAGGUAGAAAAUGUUUUGCUUGGUUAUUCAUUUCAUCAAACACUCUACUUCACUGUUUUUUUUUCACUUCAGGAAAAUUCGAGGAGGAACAACACAUACUAGUGUCUUUCCUUUCUUUCUCCCCGUCUUCUGCAAAUAGUCCCUUCCUCUUCCUGCUUUCUCCUCCUUCUCAUGUUAACAUCUUCAACCAUAAGAUGGUGUGUUAAAAGAUUGAAUAUACCUCUAUGGAAUGACUUCCAGAGGGUGUAAGUCUGAUAUGAGAGUUUUAUUACCUUGAGUAUUUUACUGGAAGAGAUAGAACAACAAACAUUUUCAUAAUAAAUGUGUGGGUUAGGAGUGUUAGGAGAAAAUACACUGAUACUAUUACUUUCAAUAUUUGAUACUACUUACUUUGACUCUCACUGAACACCUAUUUGUUUAGGAUGAAUUCACUUUAAGCCGGGUUGAAGAACAAGCCUUUAAUUGUCCUAUUAUUUGUGCCAAAUCUAUUAUAAAUUUGUUAAAAAAUUUUUAAUACCUACCUUAGAGGGUACUCUAGGUAUUUAAUGAGCUAGCAUUUGUUAAAGGCUUGUAUAGUAAGAAUUCUUAUAGUAAGAGUUCUUACCAAUAGAUGGUAUAUUUUUUAAAUUGUCCUGUUGCAUCAAAAAGUUCAUCUUUAUUGGUAAUGUUGAUUAAGUUUGCCCAUUUGGUAGUUUGGUUUCUUUUAACUAUCUUACUAGAUUUUCUUACUUUUACCUGAAAAGUAGUCCUUACUAAUAGGCACAUGUUUUGUAUAUUUCCAAAAUAUGUAUUAUGUUAAAUUCUCUGUACACUUUAUUUAAAAAUUACAGACGUUGAGGGAAAAAAAAUACCCUAUUAAGGGAAGAAUGAGUUUGUGUAUAACUUGUAGAAGAAGGAGGCCACCCAUUUUUAGAAAAAUAUGGAUGGUAUUGAAAAUUUUGCCAUGGCAAGGGAUAAAAAGGACAGGCUUCUCUAAUGUGUCUGAAACAACAUUUGAAUCCCCUUUGUUCAUUCCCUAAAUCUGCUGCUCCUUUAGAAUUCCUGAUUUUCAUAAAUAGUACCACCAUUCACUUAUUUGCUCAGGCAUAAAACUUGGAAUUUUCUGAUUCUUCACACUCAUACAACUCAUCAGACAGUACCAUCAGUUCUUCCUGACAAAUACAUUCUGAAUUUAGCUACUUAUCACUUCCACUGGUACAACCCUUGGGAGCCACCAUCAUCUGUUGCUGGACCACAGCAAUAACCACACUAGUUGCUAUCACUUUCUAUCUGUACCCUCAUGAAUAUUUUCCCAUUUAAACCAUUCUCUAUAUACCAACCAAAGCAAUC